CCACUGGAGGCAAUUAUCGAACGCACCCAUAAUUUCGGCCACGCCGCCAUUAAACCUCAAAGAAGAAUAAAAUGAAGUGACACGCUGUCAGAUUACAUUCUCAAAUCAAACGUUUUGGUCCAGCCUCAUCAGUCACUAUAAUGCCGCUGCAGCAGAGUCCUGUGUGGCUUCCCACCGACCUCAAUGUCACCAAAAGAUGUAUAAUGUACAAACUGCUCGUCUUGGAGGACGCCAGGAAUACACUGGACAAACAACUACGACGUUUAACCGAAAAGGCCAACGUGGAAGUCCGAAGCUUCCUGAGCGCGCCUCAUCCUAUCAAUGUGCUGGACAAUCUCGUCAGGUCUUUGGAUGCUAAAUGUUAUGCCAUUGAGAAACUUUCAACUGCACUCAAAAACCUGACGACCGAUCCACAAUUCAGUGCCCCAGCUUCCACCAGACCCCUAAACAGCCUGUUGCAGCCAGCGCUAUCCAGAGACCGAGGCAUCAUGACAUCGUCAGACGUGCUGAAGUUUGGUCCCAUGCUGCAGAACGUCCUCAUGGCCGGCUCCAUCACCAAGGCAGUACAGAUGCUGGGAGCCUUGCCUGCCCUACAGCAACUCAAACUCUUCUGCUCCUCUUCCUCCUCUCAAGAUGAAGACUUCCAGAAGGAUCAGGUCUUUAUAUGCAGCAUCUCCUCCUCCAGCAAAGUGGCAAAGCUCCCAAUCCCCAGCUCCUCAACCAGCGUAGGCAGUCUGAAUCUGACCAAAGACAAUGGGAUCUUUAUCUCCAAGGAGAAGACACCGCAGCAGCCAAAUACAACGACGGUUACAACCACUCAAAUCAAAGAGAACAGUCAAAUCAAACAAACACCUGGAGCAACAGAUCUAGACCUACCUGUCCCAGGUGAGCUCCUCUCAGGGUUCAGUAACCCAGCCUACCAGAUGACAGCCCUGGCUCCUCCCCCUCUAGAAUCAGGAAGUGACACCAGAGUGCAGCACCAGAAGCAAACUUCCUCGCAGCUCAUGCAAUUCCUGCGAACCAAUUGCAGGAACGAGCCGUUCAUGGAGUUGGCCGCUUUCUUCCAGCACACCAGCUACUACCAGUACACCUCUGAUUCCACCGCCCCGGCAAUGAUCUCUGACCCCCUCCCGGAAACCAAGCAUGCCCAGGAAACCCAGAAUGUUCUAGAAACUAAGAACCACAACGUCAGCGUCCCAAAGAAGGAGCUGUUCUCAGAGCUGCCAGAUAACCAGCUGAACCAAUAUGCCCCGGUGUUCACAGUAAAGCGUGUGGAGUCUGGAGGCUCUCUGAUCUUCAGCUGUAUCAUUGCCACCAAGACUGAGCUCUGGGACAUAGGAGACGUCUUUACCGAGGCGACAAGGAGCGGUCCUUCCUCUGACGUCGUCACCACCUCGGAGAACAAGAUGUCUGCCGCUAGUCUCCAGUGUCGGAGUGUAGAGAUCUCUAAUACAACCCUCCAACCCCCAGCUCCAUCCAUCCACAGCCUACAGAUCAAAGAGGGACAUGUGAUUGGGGAGGUUCAGGAAGAUAUCAACAAUAUCAGUCUGACUCCAGAACUCCAGAGAUUCCAGAACUGUUGUUCCUUGGGUACCCCAGGCAACCAGUGUCUGAACAUUCCAGAGUUCCAGAUCCGUAAGUUUGAGGAGAUGGCAGUGGUGGUGAGUCACGUGGUGCAUCCUGGGAACUUCUACAUCCAACAGGCCGACGCCACCCUCCAGCUGGAGGACCUCAACACUGAUAGUUUAGCAGAGCUGAAGUGUACUCCAGACAUCGGGACCUACGUCAUGGCUUGGUUCCCCCAACAGGAGAGGUGGUGUCGGGCACAGGUGGUCAAGAUAUGUGGCAUGAGUGGAGACAUCAAUGAGGUGGAGGUGAGGAGGCUGGACUACGGAGACACUUCCUGUCUGUCUCUAUGUAACAUCAAGGAACUCAGUGCUGAGAUGACAUCACUUCCUCUACAGGCCAUACAGGUCUCCCUGGCUAAUGUGCGCCCAGUGGACGUGUGUGGCUGGACCCAACAGGCAGUAUAUUGGUUCAGAGACAUGGUGGGCAACAGGACGCUGUACGCACGGCUCUACCCUCAGGGAGAGAGACACAACCCCAUGGUGGAACUCUUCAUGGAGAAGGGAAAACUGGGGUCCAUGAGGAGAGGAGCCUCUCUGUCUCUGAGACUGGCUCAGAAUGGACAUGCUAAACAUGACAAGCUGAGGAACCUGGGAAUCAAGAGAAGUAGUGCGCAGGAGCGAACCAAGAAAUGUCAGUCUGCCUGGAACAAGUACCUUAUUUCCUGUUACACCCAGAAUAAGAAGUAAUCAGGCUGAUAAAGGUGUUGUAGUUCAUUCCCCCUCACCUCCCUCUCCCCUUCAUGAGCCACCUGCCUCCAUCACAUUAACCAGCCUUGAUACAGGUUGUCACUAUGUGGCCAAAUUGGAAGCCCAGCCUUGUUCUAAAAUGUUCUGCCAUUGUAAUCCUUUGGGCGGGCAGUGUCAUCUUUUUUGCUUUUGACUAUUUUCUACGUUGUAGAAUAAUAGUCAUCAAAACUAUGAAGUAACACAUGGAAUCAUGUAAUAACCAAAAAAGUGUUAAACAAAUCAAAAUAUUUUUGAGAUUCUUCAAAUAGCCAGCCUUUGCCUUGAUGACAGCUUUGCACACUCUUGGCAUUCUCUCAACCAGCUUCACCUGGAAUGCUUUUCCAACAUACUUGAAGGAGUUCCCACAUAUGCUGAGCAUUUGUUGGCUGCUUUUCCUUCACGCUGUGGUCCAACUCAUCCCAAACCAUCUCAACUGAGUUGAAGUCAGGUAAUUGUGGAGGCCAGGUCAUCUGAUGCAGCACUCCAUCACUCUCCUUCUUGGUAAAAUAGCCCUGAUACAACCUGGAGGUGUGUUGGGUCAUCGUCCUGUUGAAAAACAAAUGAUCGUCCCACUAAGCCCAAACCAGAUGGGAUGGCGUAUCACUGCAGAAUGCUGUGGUAGUCAUGCUGGUUAAGUGUGCCUUGACUUCUAAAUAAAUCACAGACCGUGUCACCAGCAAACCAUCACACCUCCUCCUCCAUGCUUCAAGGUGGGAACCACACAUGCAGAGAUCAUCCGUUCACCUACUCUGCAUCUCACAAAGACACGGCGGUUGGAACCAAAAAUCUAAAAUUUGGACUCUUCAGACCGAAGGACAGAUUUCCACCUGUUUAAUGUCCAUUGCUCGUGUAUCUUGGCCCAAGCAAGUCUCUUAUUAUUGGUGUCCUUGUAGUGGUUUCUUUGAACAGUUGAGAUGUCUGUUACUUGAACUCCGUGAAGCAUUUAUUUUGGAUGCAAUUUCUGAGGCUGGUAACUCUAAUGAUCUUAUCCUCUGCAGCAGAGGUAACUCUGGGUCUUCCUUUCCUGUGGUGGUCCUCAUGAGAGCCAGUUAACUCUAAUGAUCUUAUCCUCUGUAGCGGAGGUAACUCUGGGUCUUCCUUUCCUGUGGUGGUCCUCAUGAGAGUCAGUUAACUCUAAUGAWCUUAUCCUCUGUAGCGGAGGUAACUCUGGGUCUUCCUUUCCUGUGGUGGUCCUCAUGAGAGUCAGUUAACUCUAAUGAACUUAUCCUCUGCAGCAGAGGUAACUCUGGGUCUUCCUUUCCUGUGGUGGUCCUCAUGAGAGUCAGUUCCAUCAUAGCGCUUGAUGGUUUUUGCGACUGCACUUGAAGAAACUUUCAAAGUUCUUGAAAUGUUCUGCAUUGACGGACCUUCAUGUCUAAAAGUAAUGAUGUCGUUUCUCUUUGCUUAUUUGAGCUGUUCUUGCCAUAAUAUGGACUUGGUCUUUUACCAAAAAGGGCUAUCUUCUGUAUACCACCCCUACCUUUUCACAACACAACUGAUUGGCUCAAACGCAAAUGAACUUUUAACGAGGCACACCUGUUAAUUGAAAUGCCUUCCAGGUGACUACCUCAUGAACUAGGGCUCCUGAGUGGCUCAGCAGUCUAAGACACAGCAUCUCAAUGCAAGAUGCCUCACUACAGUCCUUGGUUCGAAUCCAGGCUGUAUCACAUCCGGCCGUGAUUGGGAGUCCCAUAGGACAGCCACACAAUUAGCCCAGCAUCGGCCGGGGUGGGCCGUCAUUGUAAAUAAGAAUCUGUACUUAACUGGCUUGCCUAGUUAAAUGAAGGUUACACAAUCUGGUUGAGAGAAUGCCAAAGGGUGGCUACUUUGAAGUAUCUCAAAUAUAAACUAUAUAUUUUGAUUUGUUUAACACUUUUUUGGUUACUAUGUGUUAUGUCAUAGUUUUGAUGUCUUCACUAUUAUUCUACAAUGUAGAAAGUAGUAAAAUAAAGAGAAACCCUUGAAUGAGUCGGUGUGUCCAAACCUUUGACUGGUACUGUAUAUUUUCAUGUUUAAAUACAUUUUUGUGAAGGACAAACUAAAACCAGAUGAAGAAUUUAUUUUUUACCUUUAUUUAACCAGGCAAGUCAGUUAAGAACAAAUUCUUAUUUUCAAUGACGGCCUAGGAACAGUGGGUUAACUGCCUGUUCAGGGGCAGAACGACAGAUUUGCACCUUGUCAGCUCGGGGGUUUGAACUUGCAACCUUCCGGUUACUAGUCCAACGCACAAACCACUAGGCUACCCUGCCUCCCCUCCACUCUAACCACUAGGCCACCCUGCCACCCCAACAUGUAAUGUAGAUAAUGGUAACUGUUCAUAAAACCAGAUGAAGUAAUGUAGAUAAUGGAGCUGUUCAUAAUAUAUUCUCUGAGAACUACCACUCACCAAAAUAAAAGCUGGACAUUCGGGGAGAAAUAUAAAAUUACAAGAACAAUUUAGCAUUAUUGAUAUUGUUUAUAUUUGAGCAAAAUAACACAUUACCCAUGGAGAAAUGCAUUGCAUGAAAUUCCUUUUAAAACUGUAAACAUUUCUCUACAUCACCAAGAUGAGGCUUGAUUUUUCUCUCUCAUGCCAAAAGGUGGGCCUUUAAAAUGUUCCUUCCCAGGGUGCACUAUGGGUGACCGUUGGCUGUCUUUAGUCAGCCAGCAGACCGGCUGUCUUUUAUUUAGUCAGCCAGCAGACCGGCUGUCUUUUAUUUAGUCAGCCAGCAGACCGGCUGUCUUUAUUUAGUCAGCCAGCAGACCGGCUGUCUUUAUUUAGUCAGCCAGCAGACCGGCUGUCUUUAUUUAGUCAGCCCUCAUAAUCCUGUAAAUGUAGGAGGAUGAUCCAUUAUGUGUAUUUGACAACAGUUCCUCACUGUGAAUUUUCCUUUUAUGACUUUAAAUGAUGCUGUGGCAUGUUAUUUUUCCUUCACUAAGUUUGCAAUGUUUUUGCCUUCUGUCAUAUUAUUAGCUACUUUUCUGACCAUUUACAUAUUUGAUAUGUCUGUGUGUUGAAUAAUAAAUGGUUUAUUCAUUACAGGAUCUCUCACUGGUCUUCAUUUUGUAUUUGACAGAACAAUUCAAAUGUACCAUAUUGUCCAAAACGCGUUUCUCAAGCAAUCAUAACUCAUUACGAUGUUGUAUUCUCUCAAGUCUCCAUAACUUGUAUUAACCAACAACAGGAUGAACCUGACCCCCCUCCCUCCCACCUCUUUAUCACAACUGAUGCAGGAACAGCCCUGGGCAUCGAGAUGUAGAAUAAUGGUACAGUGAACUGAUUCUAGGUCAUCUGAUAUCACAGGACAAACAGGUGUUGUUUCUGUAGCCUGAGUGCCGGUCUGUUUCUGCUGUCAGGUCAACCCCUUGGUCUGUUUCUGUCGUCAGGUCAACCCCCUGGUCUGUUUCUGUCGUCAGGCCAACCCCUUGUUCUGUUUCUGUCGUCGGGCCAACCCCUUGGUCUGUUUCUG
rnacentral:lncRNA from 1 species